GACCAGCGCUUGCCCCCCUCGUUCUCCCCCCUGGGUGCGUGUGUGCGUACCCCUCCCGGCGGCUGACCCCAACCCAGGGCUGACCCUUGGGAAGGAGGGGAUCUAGAGAGGGGACAGCCCCAUUUCGCACCCAGAGAUUGGCUAUAAGGAGAAGGCUGACGGCUGCAGCAUGAAGCGCAUUAUUACCUUGUGAUUCCAUGACCCUCCUCUAUGCAUCCCUAACUCUCGAAAGCUGAUUCAGCUUUCAGCUAGUGCUCUGGUGAGUCCUCUGCUGCAACAGAAGCUCCUAACUGCAAAAAGUUCCUCAUCACAGAACUCCAUGAAAAUGCCUCUCAGCCUCCAGGCAGAGCGGGUGCCUCUGUUCAGCAUGGAGGGACGCGGCUGUCACCGUGCCAGGUGUGACGCGGGGCUGCAUCAGAUCGAUGGCACGGCCGCAGGAGAGCUCACUAGUGAUGCCAGGUUUAUUUUGGAAGCUAAAACAAUGUAAAAUCAACACGGCACGCACUAAACGGAUGAAAACCCCACUGAUAUGUUUAAAUGUACGGCUGCGUGCAGACACUCAUCACAAGUGGCUGUGUUUCAGUUCAUCACUUUUAGCAAAAUGGUAGAAAAUCAAAACUAAUUACAAUCAAAGUUCGCUGAUGAGUUCGAUUUGGAUCAUGGUGGGGCUGAGGAUCAGCCUUCUCCUGAGUCAGAUUGAAGAAAAAACCACCCAGUUCAACACAGGCACAUACAAAGCCACACUUGGGAACUGGAAUUUCAUGGCAUUCAGGGGGAGGAGGGAUCCUAUAGCACAGCGCUGGAAGCUCAAACAAAUAGCAGAGUGGAAUACCUCUGGUGUAGCAUCUGCUGGGACCCUGCAGCUAUUUCUGGUGUCUGCAGCUCAAGAAGGAUGUUGAUGAAUGGGAGAGGGCUCCGAGGAGGCACACAAGAAUGACGGAAGCAUUGCAAGACAUGCCUUAUAGUGACAGAUUCAAGGACCCCAGUGCGCUUAGCUUAACAAAGAGGAGGUUAAGGGAUGGCUUAAUGACAAUCCAGAUGUGCUCAGACAGACAGAAAUGGAAAGCUCUUCAAUCGAGCAGACAGAGCAAUAAAAAGAGCCGGUAACUGCAAGCUGACACUGCAAAAUUCAUGCUGGGACAGGUGAACUUCUUAAACGGACAGAACCAACACCAGAACCACUUCCUAAGAAGCAGUUUCACCAUCUUUCACCAUUUCAAAUUCAUAUGGAUUUGUUUUUGUUUUGUUUUUAUGUAUAUCUCAGAUCCACCAAAGAUCACUCUUUAAAUGAACACUCAGAGACCCACACGGCAUGAACAGGAUUCGCCUCCCCUGAUUUCUUGAUGGCCUUAAUUAUGAGUAUUUAAGACAUCAUCCCUGAGCACUGAGUGGGACGACCCCCUCCUUUUGGAUCGUGGUCAGCCUCAGUGGUGACUCUCAUGGGCACCUCAGCUCUGCCAGAGGAAUGGCUCUGUGGUUCAGAAGCUGCUGGAAUUUCUCCUUUCAUGGAAGUUCCUCACAAAAGCCUUUGGUGCAGACGACUCUUGGGCAUCUCCAGAACUACCCUUUGGCUUCUCCUGGGGGCUGUCUUGUAAGCCCCAGUGACAUCUUUCAGUGCAGCUGGGGACAAACAGGUAUAUUUUAUUAAUACUAUUAUUAUUAAUGUAAAAUUAAUUUGGGCACUAAGAUGUUAUUUCUGGGUUAUCAGGCUCUGAAAAUAGCAUGAGGGGAGAAUUUUCCUUCCAAAGAAAUACUGUGAUGAGUGAAAGAGGUCAAAUAAGAACUGAUAUCCAAAAGCAAGAAAAUAAAAAUUGUUUUAUAACCAAUUUAUAUAAAAGGG